UACGGGGGGUGCAAGCGUUAUUCGGAAUUAUUGGGCGUAAAGGGCGCGUAGGCGGUUGAAUAAGUCAGAUGUGAAAGCCCUUGGCUUAACCAAGGAAGUGCAUUUGAUACUAUUUGACUUGAGUAUGGGAGAGGGAAGUGGAAUUCCUGGUGUAGAGGUGAAAUUCGUAGAUAUCAGGAGGAACACCGGUGGCGAAAGCGACUUCCUGGACCAAUACUGACGCUGAGGCGCGAAGGCGUGGGGAGCAAACAGG
rnacentral:rRNA from 1 species